rnacentral:tRNA from 2 species
GCCCCGGUCGUAUAGCCAGGUCAGCCCUGCGGGGGCCUAAAGUAUACUGGCCUUUCGAGCCAGAGACCCGGGUUCAAAUCCCGGCCGGGGCA